GAGUAACAAUAUUUAUAUAAAUCUCUAAUCAAUUAUUAAUAUAUUAUAUAUAUAUAGAAUCAUAUAUAUUUAAUGAAUAUAUAUUAUGUAUAGUAAAAUGUAAUAAGAUAUAGUAGGAAAUACCAAAGAGAUUA
rnacentral:rRNA from 1 species